ACCAAACUGUUUUUGAAAUUUUUUUGUUAAAAUCGAACCGAACCAAAUCGGAUGAAUAGUAUCGAAUUCGGUUCUAAUUUGACUGGCGGGAUCCCCUUGAGGGUUGCACCGUCGACUGACCUUGAUCUUCUGAGAAGGGUUUGAGUGAGAGUAUGUCUGUCGGGACUCGAAAGAUGGUAAACUAUGCCUGAGCGGGGCGAAGCUAGAGGAAACUCUAGUGGAGGCCCGCAGCGAUACUAACGUGCAAAUCGUUCGUCUGACUUGGGUAUAGGGGCGUAAGACUAAUCGAACCGUCUAGUAGCUGGUUCCCUCCGAAGUUUCCCUCAGGAUAGCUGGAGCCCGUGAAUGAGUUCUAUCGGGUAAAGCCAAUGAUUAGAGGCAUCGGGGGCGCAACGCCCACGACUUAUUCUCAAACUUUAAAUAGGUAGGACGGCGCGGCUGCUUUGUUGAGCCGCGCCUUGGAAUCGAGAUCUCCAAGUGGGCCACUUUUGGUAAGCAGAACUGGCGAUGUUGGAUGAACCGGAAGCCGAGUUACGAUGCCUAACUGCGCACUAACUUAGAACCCACAAAGGGUGUUGGUCGAUUAAGAUACUAGGAAAGUGGUCAUGGAAGUCGAAAUCCACUAUGGAGUGUGUAACAACUCACAUGCCAAAUCAACUAGCUCCGAAAAUGGAUGGCGCUUAAGUGCGCGACCUAUACUCGGCCGUCGGGGCAAGUGCCAGGCCCCGAUGAGUAGGAGGGCUCAACGGUCGCUGCAAAACCUGAGGCGUGAGCCCGGGAGGAGCGGUCAUCGGUACAGAUCUUAGUAGUAGUAGCAAAUAUUCAAAUGAGAACUUUGAAGGCCGAAUAAGGGAAAUGUUCCAUGUGAACGGCACUUGCACAUGGGUUAGUCAAUCCUAAGAGACAGGGGAAGCCCGUCUCGUGCGAACUUUGAAAUGGAAUCGGGUUAAAAUACCCUUACUCUAAGGGUAAAUUCGUAAUUUCAUAUUUAAUUAAAUUAAAUAAUUUAAGUAGGGAAUUUAAUUGGAGUCGGGGUGUUACAAAAUCAAACUAACCAAUUUGAUCUAACAACUAACCAAUUUGAAAGAUAUAACAUCAUCUAAGGGCCUUAGAUA
rnacentral:rRNA from 1 species